rnacentral:rRNA from 1 species
UACGGAGGGGGCUAGCGUUGUUCGGAAUUACUGGGCGUAAAGCGCACGUAGGCGGACCAGCAAGUUAGGGGUGAAAUCCCGGGGCUCAACCCCGGAACUGCCUUUAAAACUGUUGGUCUGGAGGUCGAGAGAGGUGAGUGGAAUUCCGAGUGUAGAGGUGAAAUUCGUAGAUAUUCGGAGGAACACCAGCGGCGAAGGCGGCUCACUGGCUCGAUACUGACGCUGAGGUGCGAAAGCGUGGGGAGCAAACAGG